CACACACACACACAAAGCAAGUGAUUAACAGGAGGGGGAAGAGGGAGGUGAUGUGAGGGGGAAGCAAUGGGAUCGACCUGGCUGCCUUGUUGGUGUCUUACAUGUGCUACUCAGUCACAGGGGGGUGGCCAUGCAGGGGUGGGGAACUCACCCCUUGCCAGCCCUGCUGCUGCUUUGGAGGAGGAAAACCCAAGCUGCCUGCUCUUGCCAGAGUUUAAGGAGGUUGUAGUGCAUGGAAGGAGACCUGCCACAGGGGCUGUGAACAUGUGUUGGGGGGCAGAGAAUCUAAUUUUACACAUGAUGGGACUGCAGGACCAGGACAAACAAUAGGAGAAAUAAAAUGAGAAAGGACCAACGAUAAAGCACAUUAGAUACAUGAAUACCAUAAAUAAGAAUUACCUGAUUUACAGUGAAUUACCAAUAGGAGAGGAAAAUGAAAGGCAAACAGAAAGGGAAAAGAACCAAAAAGGACAGAAGCAGGAAUGUGAAAUCUCAGUAAUUGGAAAUCGGCCAAAUUCAGGUAAAGCAAUGGGUUUUUUCCAUAGUUAUUUUAACUGCAACAUACCUGU
rnacentral:lncRNA from 1 species